rnacentral:rRNA from 1 species
GAGUUUGAUCUUGGCUCAGAUUGAACGCUGGUGGCAUGCCUUACACAUGCAAGUCGAACGGCAGCACGGGAGCUUGCUCCUGGUGGCGAGUGGCGAACGGGUGAGUAAUGCAUCGGAACGUAUCCUGGAGUGGGGGAUAACGUAGCGAAAGUUACGCUAAUACCGCAUAUUCUGUGAGCAGGAAAGCGGGGGACCUUCGGGCCUCGCGCUCUUGGAGCGGCCGAUGUCGGAUUAGCUAGUUGGUGAGGUAAAGGCUCACCAAGGCGACGAUCCGUAGCAGGUCUGAGAGGAUGAUCUGCCACACUGGAACUGAGACGCGGUCCAGACUCCUACGGGAGGCAGCAGUGGGAAUUUUGGACAAUGGGGGCAACCCUGAUCCAGCCAUGCCGCGUGAGUGAAGAAGGCC